GGGGGUAUAGCUCAGGGGUAGAGCAUUUGACUGCAGAUCAAGAGGUCCCUGGUUCAAAUCUGGGUGCCCCCU
rnacentral:tRNA from 1 species